rnacentral:tRNA from 1 species
GGCCUCGUAGCUCAGUUGGUUAGAGCAUUGGCCUUUCCCUUGCUGGCGUGGGUUCGAAUCCCACGGAGGCCG